UACCCGAAUGGGGAAACCCAGUGUGACUCGUCACACUAUCAUUAACUGAAUCCAUAGGUUAAUGAGGCGAACCGGGGGAACUGAAACAUCUAAGUACCCCGAGGAAAAGAAAUCAACCGAGAUUCCCCCAGUAGCGGCGAGCGAACGGGGAGGAGCCCAGAGCCUGAAUCAGCAUGUGUGUUAGUGGAAGCGUCUGGAAAGGCGCGCGAUACAGGGUGACAGCCCCGUACACAAAAGCGCAUGUGCUGUGAGCUCGAUGAGUAGGGCGGGACACGUGGUAUCCUGUCUGAAUAUGGGGGGACCAUCCUCCAAGGCUAAAUACUCCUGACUGACCGAUAGUGAACCAGUACCGUGAGGGAAAGGCGAAAAGAACCCCGGCGAGGGGAGUGAAAAAGAACCUGAAACCGU
rnacentral:rRNA from 1 species